AAUACCAUGAAAGGUAGUCCGGCUUGGCUCAAGCAUGUUAUCAGUAAUGCCGAGCUUAAGCAUUGUGUCCCGGUACAGGAUAUUUAUGCUGCUCCCGUUAUCAAUGAGGACCCGAGUAAAUUUGACGUUAAUGUUGGGCCCGAUGAGUGUCGGGUCAACCACCAGAGCAUAUCCGCCGGGGUUGGGCAUAACCUUAGGAUGGUCUGUCCGGUUCCAGUUGAUCUCCUGCUCCGACCAGUACAGGAACUUUGGAAUAGCCGGCAUUACUG
rnacentral:lncRNA from 1 species